CUAAUAUAACCCUCAAAAUGGAUCUUUACAAAGAGUUCGUCAUGCAGCAUGUCUAAUAGCAUAAUGUCCCCAAUGGAAAGCUGCACAAACAUAUUGAGCUGUUCAGGGAUUGAAGACCGCUGCAUUACAGCAAAAGUUGAGAAUCUGAAAAGGGAAGAAGAAGAUUAAAGGAUUUUUGAUGAUCAGUCAAAGGUUGUCAAAGGCUGUGUCUCUAGAUCCUUUUGUGAUGGCGCAAAUGUAAUUAAUAUUGACGACAUCUCAUGUUGUGAGGGGAACCUGUGUAACGGUGAUCAGAG